rnacentral:rRNA from 1 species
GACGAACGCUGGCGGCGUGCUUAACACAUGCAAGUCGAACGGAAAGGCCCUGCUUUUGUGGGGUGCUCGAGUGGCGAACGGGUGAGUAACACGUGAGUAACCUGCCCUUGACUUUGGGAUAACUUCAGGAAACUGGGGCUAAUACCGGAUAGGAGCUCCUGCUGCAUGGUGGGGGUUGGAAAGUUUCGGCGGUAGGGGAUGGAUUCGCGGCUUAUCAGCUUGUUGGUGGGGUAGUGGCUUACCAAGGCUUUGACGGGUAGCCGGCCUGAGAGGGUGACCGGCCACAUUGGGACUGAGAUACGGACCAGACGCGUACGGGAGGCAGCAGUGGGGAAUAUUGCACAAUGGGCGGAAGCCUGAUGCAGCAACGCCGCGUGCGGGAUGACGGCCUUCGGGUUGUAAACAGCUUUCGCCUGUGACGAAGCGUGAGUGACGGUAAUGGGUAAAGAAGCACCGGCUAACUACGUG